rnacentral:tRNA from 1 species
GGGCCCAUAGCUCAGCUGGUUAGAGCACCUGACUCAUAAUCAGGGUGUCCUAGGUUCAAAUCCUAGUGGGCCCA